CCUACGGGUGGCUGCAGUGGGGAAUAUUGCACAAUGGGCGCAAGCCUGAUGCAGCGACGCCGCGUGCGGGAUGGAGGCCUUCGGGUUGUAAACCGCUUUUGUUCAAGGGCAAGGCACGGUCUUUGGCCGUGUUGAGUGGAUUGUUCGAAUAAGCACCGGCUAACUACGUGCCAGCAGCCGCGGUAAUACGUAGGGUGCAAGCGUUAUCCGGAUUUAUUGGGCGUAAAGGGCUCGUAGGCGGUUCGUCGCGUCCGGUGUGAAAGUCCAUCGCUUAACGGUGGUUCCGCGCCGGGUACGGGCGGGCUUGAGUGCGGUAGGGGAGACUGGAAUUCCCGGUGUAACGGUGGAAUGUGUAGAUAUCGGGAAGAACACCAGUGGCGAAGGCGACUAUCUGGCACAUAACUGACGCUGAGGAGCGAAAGCGUGGGUAGCAAACAGGAUUAGAUACCCCAGUAGUC
rnacentral:rRNA from 1 species